CUCCUGGAAAACGGGUGGUAAUGCCGGAUGCUCCAGUUGAUCGCAUGGUCUUCUGGGAAAGCUUUCGCGGUAUGGGAUGGGGUCGCGUCCUAUCAGCUUGACGGCGGGGUAACGGCCCACCGUGGCUUCGACGGGUAGCCGGCCUGAGAGGGCGACCGGCCACAUUGGGACUGAGAUACGGCCCAGACUCCUACGGGAGGCAGCAGUGGGGAAUAUUGCACAAUGGGCGCAAGCCUGAUGCAGCGACGCCGCGUGAGGGAUGGAGGCCUUCGGGUUGUAAACCUCUUUUAUCGGGGAGCAAGCGAGAGUGAGUUUACCCGUUGAAUAAGCACCGGCUAACUACGUGCCAGCAGCCGCGGUAAUACGUAGGGUGCAAGCGUUAUCCGGAAUUAUUGGGCGUAAAGGGCUCGUAGGCGGUUCGUCGCGUCCGGUGUGAAAGUCCAUCGCUUAACGGUGGAUCCGCGCCGGGUACGGGCGGGCUUGAGUGCGGUAGGGGAGACUGGAAUUCCCGGUGUAACGGUGGAAUGUGUAAAUAUC
rnacentral:rRNA from 1 species